UACAGAGGGUGCAAGCGUUAAUCGGAAUUACUGGGCGUAAAGCGUGCGCAGGCGGUGAUGUAAGACAGAUGUGAAAUCCCCGGGCUCAACCUGGGACCUGCAUUUGUGACUGCAUCGCUAGAGUACGGUAGAGGGGGAUGGAAUUCCGCGUGUAGCAGUGAAAUGCGUAGAUAUGCGGAGGAACACCGAUGGCGAAGGCAAUCCCCUGGACCUGUACUGACGCUCAUGCACGAAAGCGUGGGGAGCAAACAGG
rnacentral:rRNA from 1 species